GGAAAGAUGAAAAGAACUUUGAAAAGAGAGUUAAACAGUACGUGAAAUUGUUGAAAGGGAAACGAUUGAAGUCAGUCGUGCUGGCGCGAAAUCAACCUCCUCGUCAGGAGAUCACUGUUGUGGCGAGCCUCAAAACCGUCACAGCGUGUGACUCACGACGAGUGGGAGCACUUUCGUGUCCGCUGGUUAACAUCAAUUUCGAACGUCAUAAAAAGGCUGGAGGGAUGUGGCUCCUUCGGGAGUGUUAUAACCUUUAGCGGAAUGUGGUGGUCGGGAUUGAGGAUUGCAACGAAUACCUUUAGGGCUGUUCCACCUGGCCUCUCUUUGGUAUCCUGGUGACGACAGCUUGCUGACGUCGUUAGGAUUCGCCAUUGAACAGGCUAGAGUGUGAGCAAAUUCGUUAAGGAUGUUAACGUAAUGGCUUUAAACGACCCGUCUUGAAACACGGACCA
rnacentral:rRNA from 1 species